CCUUUUCUUCUCGGACGAGCAUUAGCAUAGUGUGACGUGCCACCGUCCCCGACCAAUUUAGACAGAGCGCGCGGUAACUCUUUACUCAGUGCCGGGUGGCUGGAAGUUGGACAAAACCGACCUUUAAGACGCAGGCACACAACUGGAGUGAAACCACUUUCUCCUUGUAGCGAGACAGCUAGGAGACAAACGCUAAGAGCGAGUCUAAAUUCUGUGCGCUAGAAGAGAAGUCCAAGGGAAAGAAGAUGAAGACUGCGGUGGUGUUAGUGAUGGCCGUACUGUUGGUCAGUGGGCUGACCAGCGCGGCUCCGGCAAAGCAGCGCACGUCGUUCGCCUGUAACAAAGUCAUGCACUGUGUGAACAGCGACGGCUCCGCCUGUGACGUGAUUACCGGUUUCACCAACCGCUGUUCCUGCGUCUUGGUGAACGAAUGUGGCUAGCAGAACAAACAUCUGAUACAACUCGGGCGCCGCUGGAUCUACCAACGAACCAAAUCUACAUCCCAUGGAACAACUAGGAGACGCCCAGAAAAAUACAAAAUACGCCUUUGCAAAGGCUCAGUAUGCUUGAAAAAAAAACUAUGCUUGAUUUAUGAAUAGGACCUUGAGUGACUCUUUAGUCAGCUUUAAGUACUCUUCAAAGCCAAAAAAUGUCGACGUAGGCCCCCCUCCCAAUCCUGUUAGAAUAUCUGCAUGGCAUGACGUAAAUGCAUACGUAAAUGUACCGUUUUGUUUGACGCUCUCCGGAAAGUUUGGUGUCGACUCCCGUGUUUUCAGUCACAGGUUUCUGCGCGCUUUGUUUAACGUGACAGACCAUUUACCGUAAACUAUCGUGUUUUCGUUUGACCCUUUCAACCCUUUUAGAGGUUACGUCUUGUAAUUUACAACGUUUGUCAAAGCAUUUGCUGCCCAGGAACUUGGGGUCAAAAUUUUGUACGAACUAAAACAACAUGGAUUUAAAUUCAGCCUGUAUAGUAAAUCUUUUUGGACAUAUAUGAAUAAAAUGAAGAAAUGUAACAAACUACUUUAAAUUCGAUUAUGCUGGUUUUAAGAUAGUCGUUGUGAUUGUACUCAGCCUUUUAUAUUAAACGGAAUUUCUGCUUUUUGUCCUCUUCUUCGAA